GGGAGUCCCUCCCUCUAAAAGCACUCUGUGUGGGGAACAUGAGAGCCAGACCAAAGCUCAGAGGAACCCACCUGGACCUCCACUCAGCUCUGUGUCCUAUGAAAGUAACUCAGUCAAAGAUGUCAUUAAGAAAUUUGAGCAAAAACAGUCGGCUGAGAAAAGGAUCCAUCAGAGACUCAAACCUGGACCUCCACCCAGCUCUGUGUCCUUACAGAGUGACCGAUCUAAAGGCGUUGUUCCUGACUUUAAAUCAGGCGUGUGUCGUCCUGCAGAGAGGUAAUUGUUGUGUCCAAAUUCAUGGGCUGC